rnacentral:tRNA from 1 species
GGAAACUUAGCUCAGUUGGUUAGAGCAACCGGCUCAUAACCGGUCGGUCCUGGGUUCGAAUCCCAGAGUUUCCA